rnacentral:rRNA from 1 species
GACGUAGGGCGCGAGCGUUGUCCGGAUUUAUUGGGCGUAAAGAGCUCGUAGGCGGCUUGUCGCGUCGACUGUGAAAACCCGAGGCUCAACUUCGGGCUUGCAGUCGAUACGGGCAGGCUAGAGUGCGGUAGGGGAGAUUGGAAUCCUGGUGUAGCGGUGGAAUGCGCAGAUAUCAGGAGGAACACCAAUGGCGAAGGCAGAUCUCUGGGCCGUAACUGACGCUGAGGAGCGAAAGCAUGGGGAGCGAACAGG